CGUGACACUACCCACUGUCCAAAGAGCAUCCUGAUUCUUUGUAUGGUGUCCGUCAUCGUUUAGUUAAAGGUUUGAGCAGCCUCGGCAAAGUUCCGAGCCGGUGUACUUUGACGAGUUUUGCGUCGAUACUGCAUCCAGUUGGUCCAAAUCCUUGGUGCUUGGGUAGACUGCGUCUGUUAGAGUAGUGGCAGGACCUCAGGCAUGUGAGCAGAGUCCUUUUGAGUACUUUCCAGGUGUUUAGGUUCCAUAGUUUGUUGGAAGGAGGCUGUCCUCCAUGCAUCCCAGGAACAAAGGCGUCCGUUUUUUGUUUGUGUGAAG